rnacentral:sRNA from 1 species
AUUGACGCCAUGAGCGCGCUGCUGCGGCUGCUGCGCACGGGUGCCCCAGCCGCUGCGUGCCUGCGGUUGGGGACCAGUGCAGGGACCGGGUCGCGCCGUGCUAUGGCCCUGUACCACACUGAGGAGCGCGGCCAGCCCUGCUCGCAGAAUUACCGCCUCUUCUUUAAGAAUGUAACUGGUCACUACAUUUCCCCCUUUCAUGAUAUUCCUCUGAAGGUGAACUCUAAAGAGGAAAAUGGCAUUCCUAUGAAGAAAGCACGAAAUGAUGAAUAUGAGAAUCUGUUUAAUAUGAUUGUAGAAAUACCUCGGUGGACAAAUGCUAAAAUGGAGAUUGCCACCAAGGAGCCAAUGAAUCCCAUUAAACAAUAUGUAAAGGAUGGAAAGCUACGCUAUGUGGCGAAUAUCUUCCCUUACAAGGGUUAUAUAUGGAAUUAUGGUACCCUCCCUCAGGUAACAUUUUUCUUACAAUGGUAAAACGUUCCUGUCUUCUGAAAAAAUUGCCUUAUAAAUCCUGUGAACUACUGAAUUUAAAUUGGUUCUGAGGACAUGUCAUUUGGAGAGGUUUGUAAAUUUGGAAUUUAUUAACGUGGAUGGAGUUUUAGUAUAUCAAUAAAUUUUGUUUUAAACCAUG